rnacentral:rRNA from 1 species
UACGGAGGGAGCUAGCGUUGUUCGGAAUUACUGGGCGUAAAGCGCACGUAGGCGGCUUUGUAAGUUAGAGGUGAAAGCCCGGGGCUCAACCCCGGAAUUGCCUUUAAGACUGCAUCGCUUGAAUCCGGGAGAGGUGAGUGGAAUUCCGAGUGUAGAGGUGAAAUUCGUAGAUAUUCGGAAGAACACCAGUGGCGAAGGCGGCUCACUGGACCGGUUCUGACGCUGAGGCGCGAAAGCGUGGGGAGCAAACAGG